rnacentral:lncRNA from 1 species
GGUUAUGACAAUUUGAAGACCUUUUUCCUUAAAUUAUCUCAGCUUUUAACUUCAUUUAAAAGAAAAAAAAAAAAAGACUUUUGUCUAAAGAAGAGUAUUAUUAUUAUAAUUAUUAUAAUUAUUAUUAUUAUUAUUCUGUGUUCUCUCAACACCCUAGGAUUAAAAAAAAAACUGAUAUGCAAGUAAUUGGAGUACAAACAUGAAAACAAACAAACAAACGAGUAUAAUAUUUGCAAAUAUGAGUAUAAAAAGCACAACGAGAUGCAGUAAAACGUUGACAAGGCUUGAUUUUUUUUAUUCUGUAGAGAAAUGUUUGUGCAAAUUCAGUAAUUCAACUGAAGAGAUAAUUUUACAGCUAUGUUCAAUAAAGCCUCUUUCCAGGUAAGGUAUGCCACGUGGUGCGUGUGUUUGUUGAGCUAUGUGCACGUGCGCCCCGGAGGGGUGAGACUGGGAUGAUGUGGUUUUCCCUCUGACAAACUGGUGCUGUCUGAAGAUGUAAUGGUCUGUACUGGUGGUGCUCGGGGGAAGGAGCUUUCUGAGGACGCUGUCAGAGCUGGUUUGUAGGUGUUUCGUGGUGUCUAAUACCCGUGCUGCAGGGAAACGGCUGCUCGGAGGACAGUGGGAGCUCGGAGCCUGGUUGGACUGCGGGGUUUGACACUGCAGGUGUUUGUAAAUAAAAGAAAUUUCCCACUGGAAGCACUGGAUUUUGACUGUGGACCGGAGAACUGGGUCAGGUACGGUGAGACCCUGAUGCAGAUUUUCUCUUAGAAGGUCGGUGUGCCUUGUAAUUCAGGACUUGUGGAGAUCAGACCUUCAUGAGCAUCCUCCUUGUGAAAGCCAAAGGACUGUGGUGUCAUCCGAGAGACUCCUCUGUGGGCGUUUUUGGCGUGGCUGUCUCCGGAGGGGACGGCUUUGCAUGCACCCUGCAAGACAGGCCAUGCCUCCAGAACCCUGCCGGGAGGGAACGUCGCUUUUUGCAGCACUUUCCCAUGUGGUUCCUGCUGCACCUCUGGGUCACCACUUGUCACCACUGGGCCCUGUGGCUCGUGGCCUGGCUCAAGCAGCAGCUGAGGAAGGUGUCUGUGGCAGGAGGAGCCUGUGACCACCACCACGGGGCCAGGGCCUACCACGCCGGGCCUGGGCCUGCGUCUCCUGAUGGCCGGGCUGCGGCUGCUGGGUUCUGUCCUGAUGGGGUGGAAAGGGGAGUGUGGAAAUCAAGAGUGGCCAUUAUCAGUCAUUUUGAGUGGACUUACAGCAACUACAACCUGGAAUCAGCUGCCAGGCUUCUUAGGGAAGUGGCUGUGGGAGUCAGCCGGGUGUUCCCAAGGCAGAGUUAA